AACGAACGCUGGCGGCAUGCCUAACACAUGCAAGUCGAACGAGACCUUCGGGUCUAGUGGCGCACGGGUGCGUAACGCGUGGGAAUCUGCCCUUCGGUUGGGAAUAACACAGAGAAAUUUGUGCUAAUACCUUAUAAUGUCUUCGGACCAAAGAUUUAUCGCCGAGGGAUGAGCCCGCGUAGGAUUAGCUAGUUGGUGGGGUAAUGGCCUACCAAGGCGACGAUCCUUAGCUGGCUGAGAGGAUGAUCAGCCACACUGGGACUGAGACACGGCCCAGACUCCUACGGGAGGCAGCAGUGGGGAAUUGUUCGCAAUGGGCGCAAGCCUGACGACGCAACGCCGCGUGGAGGAUGAAGAUUUUCGGAUCGUAAACUCCUGUCGAAUGGGAACGAAAAAGUUGCGGGUUAACACCCCGCGAUUCUGACGGU
rnacentral:rRNA from 1 species